rnacentral:lncRNA from 1 species
AUAACAUAUGUACAUAUAUAGUCAUAAAGGCCCUUCCAGUUCAUCCCAUGCCCUUGGGUAGCAAGGGUAUACAUUCAUGUCCAUACGUACCAGUUAGAUUACUAGUAAACUACCAUAUGGGUAGUUUAGGAAGAUACUCGAGCUAUUACUAGAACGCGACAUCAUACAAUGAGUCAGUUCAUUCAUGAGUCAACAUUUUCUAGAACAUUACAGUACAUUACUAUACUUGCUAGAUAGAGAGAGAACACACAUUACAGCUAGCACACGUAGAACAUUACAGUACACUACUAUACUAUUACAUGAUCACACUUACAUGAGUACGCUUACAUAUACAUAGAACAGACGUCAUUAGGUUCUAUACCAUGGAACCAGUUCAGGAUCUAACUAUACCGAUGAAUCACAACGCAAUUGUGAUCGUUAUAUCAAGUAUACAUGAUCAUAGUAAUGUGGAUGCUCAUGGCUUGCAUACAUGCAGGGGUCGUGGGUAGGUCCCGAAAUCCUUUUGAUAGGGGAGCGUAUAGUCUAGGAUCUAGACAUAACAUUAUACCUUAUCCCUCAAAUAAGGCAGUUGAGUACCGAUGUAGUUAUUUAUAUCAAAUACUACAGUACUUAGAAGAAUUACCCUAGAGUUUAAGUAAUUGGUAUGGUCGUACUUCAACGCUACACCAUAGUACUAUUUCUUUUUCCCAUUACAUUCACUUCGUGAACAUUUACAUGACGCACUGUAAUGUAGAAGCUAUCUUUUUGAUUAAUGGUAGUCAGACUUGGGAAAAUACACACUCUUACAAGAGACACACACAGACACUACAUGCCUUGGUAGAAGGCUACAUAGAGAUCAGUUAAGUCUUGGUAGAAGACUCCUUGUUAUAAUAGUAGGAAUCAUAGGGAUUUCUAGGGUUUUUCAAACGUUUACAGUUGUUUUACAAACAUUUUCAAUACUUACAGUUCAUAUACAAAUUCUUACAUACAAAUACUUACAUAUAAAUUAAGACACUAAAAUACUUAUGAUCUCACCAGCUUCAAAGCUGAUACUCGCUUUCAAAAUUACUUGUAUCCUCAGGUCAUCAUAGACAGGUACCGAUGCAAGGAUUAGGGAAGAUGGAGCUCGUUGAAGACUCAUCUUUCAUUUUGAUUUAUGCUUUAGUGUUUAUCAAAAUUUGACAGAACACACUUGUAUAAUAAUUAUAUUAUUAAUGCAAUGGAUGAUGUUGUUGCUUGUUUACUACUUUUCAUUGUUGUGAUACUGUACAUGACGUCCUCCGCCCCAGAACGUUUCCGCCGUUCUUGGUUUUGGGGUGUGACAGAUUGGUAUCAGAGCAUUGUUUAUAGUGAAUUAAGUAUAUCAACCCAUAAAAGAUAUACUAACUAUAAAUACAUAAGGGAUUAAAAAUACUCUGACCAAGAGUUUAUACUUUAAAUAAUAAAAUAUUUAAGAAAGUAUACGUGCCUGCAUUCAUACUAAAAUCAGUGUCACUAGGACAGUACAAAAGAAUUACGAUUGUUGGGCAACACAAGUGGGCUUAGAGACAUAUGGUCAAAACUGGGAAGAUAUAGCCUGAUCACCUAUAUUAUCCGAGGGUUGACUAGCAUGUGCCUAAGUUUAAUUGUGUGGUUGCAACAAUGCUAAAAUCUUACCAACCCUACCACAAUGAGAACAAUAGAACAUAACAUUAAACUUAAAAUACUAUAGGAGUAUUUGGUGUUACUAUAAGUACNNNNNNNNNNNNNNNNNNNNNNNNNNNNNNNNNNNNNNNNNNNNNNNNNNNNNNNNNNNNNNNNNNNNNNNNNNNNNNNNNNNNNNNNNNNNNNNNNNNNNNNNNNNNNNNNNNNNNNNNNNNNNNNNNNNNNNNNNNNNNNNNNNNNNNNNNNNNNNNNNNNNNNNNNNNNNNNNNNNNNNNNNNNNNNNNNNNNNNNNNNNNNNNNNNNNNNNNNNNNNNNNNNNNNNNNNNNCUUACAUACAAAUUAAGACACUAAAAUACUUAUGAUCUCACCAGCUUCAAAGCUGAUACUCGCUUUCAAAAUUACUUGUAUCCUCAGGUCAUCAUAGACAGGUACCGAUGCAAGGAUUAGGGAAGAUGGAUCUCGUUGAAGAAUCCACUUUCAUUUUGAUUUAUGCGUUAGUGUUUAUCAAAAUUUGACAGAACACACUUGUAUAAUAAUUAUAUUAUUAAUGCAAUGGAUGAUGUUGUUGCUUGUUUACUACUUUUCAUUGUUGUGAUACUGUACAUGACGUCCUCCGCCCCAGAACGUUUCCGCCGUUCUUGGUUUUGGGGUGUGACAGAUUGGUAUCAGAGCAUUGUUUAUAGUGAAUUAAGUAUAUCAACCCAUAAAAGAUAUACUAACUAUAAAUACAUAAGGGAUUAAAAAUACUCUGACCAAGAGUUUAUACUUUAAAUAGUAAAAUAUUUAAGUAAGUAUACGUGCUGCAUUCAUACUAAAAUCAGUGUCACUAGGACAGUACAAAAGAAUUACGAUUGUUGGGCAACACAAGUGGGCUUAGAGACAUAUGGUCAAAACUGGGAAGAUAUAGCCUGAUCACCUAUAUUAUCCGAGGGUUGACUAGCAUGUGCCUAAGUGUAGAUGUGUGGUUGCAACAAGUCUAAAAUCUUACCAACCCUACCACAAUGAGAACAAUAGAACAUAACAUUAAACUUAAAAUACUAUAGGAGUAUGUGGUGUUACUAUAAGUACGUUAUACUUGAGAACUAAAACGGGAUCUUCAUUACUAAGUUGAUAGUUGCUAAGUGGAUACACUGAGGAUAUAUGUGAUUAGGAUGUUAUAGACUUAGAUUCUGUGAAAUUUUACUUUACCCUGAUUUUGUGUGAAUUUGGAGUUAAGGCCACAUAUUCGAAGGCCUAUCCUGUUUCGAUUACAUAUAAUUGGUAUGCACUUCACAAAUAGCGAUGUAACUAAUGAAGAUUUUCUAACUAAUUAUCUAGAUAGUUCGUCUAAUAACUAUUUUCUUACCCCAAUUCUCGUUUAGAUAACAUGGCUGGACUCCAUCCCCGCGGCAAUCAUCCUUCCGAACNAAGUCAUUGCUGGUUGGUUUGGAGAAGAACCAGAUAAUGAUCAUCCUAUCCUUUUGAAUGAUCACCAUGAUGAAGACCUUUCGGAUGAUGCUAACUCCGAACCAGAGGUUGAGAACCUACCCCAAGUAGCUCCCUUUCCAAUUCCUAACCCUCAUCCGGCUUUUCAAGGCCCGACCCCUGAGUGGGUGGAAUGCUUGGAAACAAGGAGCCAAGGACAAGAUCAACCCAUGCCAUUUAAUGGCGACCGAAGCUUUUAUGACAUAAGCAAUGGGGGCUCAGCAGACAGAACCUUGCCAAUCUUGGUCCGCAGAGUGGCCCGAAAUGAGAUUCAAGGCAGGACGGCCCUACAUCAGAUUACCGAAGUUGUCGCCGAUGCGAGAAUGCAUACCCUCCGCACCAUUCAUCUCGAAGAUGCUCGCGAGAGAUCAGAGAGAAACCAUGAAACCCUGCUGCAAGCACUGGCUGAAUCACGAGCCGAAGUCAUAGAGCUCCGAGUACGCCAGAGGAUGUACGAAAGACACCUACUUGAUGUAGAACGUCAACUAGCUGAACUGAGAGUUCACCUGAGGGAUGACCGUUGUCAGUUGUAGAUUCUUUAACUUACUUCCCUUGUUAGAAAGUUAUCUUUUUCUGUCUUUGCCCGAUGUGGCAUUUUCUAUGAAAUUACCUUGUACUGUAAGUACUUUAGGUUAGGUCCUUAUGCUGUCAAGAAUUAUCUUCUCUGGAUAUGAUGUAAGACCUUUACAAGGUUAUUUUCCUGAAUCUUUACGUAAUGAAUAUCAAAGAUAUUGACAGUUGGCUAACUUUUGUGUCAUUCUUCAUUCAAUUACUUUUAUCAUACUUUCAUUGGAGUCUAUCUGAAUCAUGCUUUAGUCAAGUCAUUGGACUAUAGUAAUUUAGCUCUGGAGACAUUCCAAGUCUCUUUUAGUGGUUGGAUUUUAUUAUUCACCAACCCACGAUACCUCAGCUUGAACGACAAACGUCUUGAGACCAUUCUACAAACUCAUUUUCCAUUCCGUACUAGGACUGCAUCAUAUGGAUGUAGGUCAAACCUUCGCGAUCAUACCUCCAAUCCGUACUAGGACUGCAUCGUAGGGAUGUAGGUCAACGUUUCGAGAUCAUACUCUUACUCUUUGAGUUAGUAAUCGAAGUACAUCUAGGGUCAACCAGAAUCGCUCACAAAAUCCUUAUCUUUCGUGUUACAGAAUCAUGUCGUCAUCCGGAAGCAAUCAGUCGAACGACGAAACCUCCGCCUUUCCCAUGGAUGCCGCUACCUUUCAAACCACAGUUACAACUGCCGUGAUGGCUGCCGUGACAGCUGUCGUUGCGCACCGUAGCACUAUUAGCACAAUCAAUGCUGUUGAUGGGAAUGAAGUUUCCAAUCGUGGUAUCCAUCCAGGAAGUCAUCAAACGGUAACAGCCUCAGGCCCGCAAAGCCGAAAAACAAAGAACAAGAAACGGAAGCGUCAAGCCCAGAAAGAACGCAAGAAACCCCGAAAACUUGCCAUGCAACAACACCAAGUGGAAACCUCUGCCAUCCCCGUACCAAGCAGACCAUACAAAGGAACACACCCGAAGUGCGACCGGUGCAACUACCACCACGAGGGAAUUUGCCGAGCCUUGCAAUGCAAUAAUUGCAACAAGAUGGGGCACAUUGCUCGUUUCUGUAGAACUACCUCCACCACUGGGGCAAGCCUAGUUUGCUAUAAUUGUGGUGAGUUUGGGCACUAUAAAAGAGAUUGCCCGAAAAAGGAAAUCAAGGAAAGAACCCGCGUCCCCAUAACUCCUAAUCGACACUUCACUUCCACCACCAAAGUUGAUGCUGUUCAGAUUUGUCACCAAUGCGGUGAAAUUGGACACUUCAAGAAAGAUUGCCCGAUAGCAAAGAACUCGGGUGCAGAUUGGAAGAUCCUCAGGAUCACAGCCGCAGGAGAGCCUACUCCGGAACCCUCGUUAAUGUAAUUUAGGCGUUUCGUUGUAACAGACUUAUAAACUAUCCAAAACUAGUGCAACUAGAGUAAUACAUUUUGGCGAGAUCCGGUCAGUAUAGGGAUUUUCGUGCUGCGUAUACUUGUCUUUUCUAGUAUACCUUAUUCGCAACAAUAGUCCUGUAGAAAAUCUAAAGUACUGUAAAUCUGUCCAUGGUUGCAUGGUUAUGUUUUGUCUGUCAACGCCUUAUGUUCAAAUCUAAUGUCUUUAAAGUUUUUGUGUGAUUCCGACAUUAUAAUACGAUUAGAUUCAAUUUGAUCCUCACGAAAAAAGCUUCAUAUGUACGUCUCCUUAUCAGUAAACGUCUUUUUAGCGAAACCGUCAUAUCAGAAGACCGAAGUACUCAUGCCAGGAGUACCUCUUAGUUAUUUUCUUUCCGAAGAAAUCCCUGAAGUACCACUUGUGCAGUAGGUCAAGUUCAAUCCAAGGAUUUAUACGAUUGAUCUAUCAAUGAGGAAUGUAUACAUAAGAGUGAUAUAUAAUCAAGGUUCUACAGGUUUAGAAUUGAUGAUUCCACUUUAACUUGUUUUUCCUCGAAAGGAAGUGAGCUUAAAGAAGAAUCAAUUAUUCUACUACCUUUUCAAUCUUAAUUAUAUACGACUCGUAUACACGAGAUUGUGAUUGUGAAAACAUGUAUGAAUUCUAAUAUGAACUUCAGGACGGAGAACUGCCUAAGCCUACGAGUAAUCGCCUCGUCAUGUGAACAAACGUAGAACCCAGUACGACUCUUGUAAACAGAUUGCCCUUUAGUCUAAACACCUACGGAGACAUAAGAACAGCUUGGACAACUUAGCGAACUGCACAGAAAGAGAAUUAGAAGACUAGGCUUGUCACCCUGGAGAACCCCAUUUUUAUUCUCCCAGAGAUCGACAGAUUGCAUCGUAUGUGCCUCGGAUAUCGAGGACUCCGUCAAGAUUUUUCAUUAGAAAUCCUUAUCUCUACCUCGCAUAGAUGAAAUGGUUGAGCAAACGCAAGGAAAGAAUUACUUUCAGAAAUGGAUACGAGAUCCGAAUAUCACCAGUUCGAGUGUUAGGGAAGGAUGUUUGGAAAAUUAUCUUCCGAACUCGAUGCGGACACUUCAAGUCCGUAGUGAUACCCUUCGGAUAGGACCAAUACGCCCAUAGUUUUCAUGAGCAUAAUGCGUAGGGUACGUCUUUCUUACUUGGAUCAGUUCGUCAUUUCUCCAAGUAAUGACUUACUUAUCUACCCUCGUAGUAAGAAGAAAACCCAUGGAAACAUUUCCUUCAGAGGAACAUUUCGCGAAGUCCUCUAGGCACGAGUUUUGAAAUUUAAGAGUCAGACUCCUAAGACACACUGUUAGUGAUGUGGGUAUCCUGAGUACUCUUUCAAUUUGUCGAAACAAUUGAGAAAUUUGUCGACACCUAAGACGCCGACAGGCAUUCGCCAAAUUCUAGGUCUUACAGACUUACUGUCAUAUUUCGUCCAUAACUCCUCGCAAAUUACAGAAAUCUUUACGACUCUGACCCAGCAAGGGGUGGCCCUUGACUGGGAAGUUAAACAAGAAAAAGAAACCUUGGAGAUUCCAAGUGAGUGACCAGGUUCUUUAGGAGAACUCACUCUGGGAAUGGCUUAAUACACUUCGUAUCGCGUAGAAAGCUAAAUCCAGUAUAGUUAGGACCUCUGAGAUUCUUAUCAGAAUCGAUCUUGUGCCUCGCACAAACUAGACCUACUCCACGAACUCAGUAGCGUACAUUGUUGUAACAGCCCAAAAUCUCAAGUAUUGUUAAAUUGCAUUUUGGGGUGUUUUAAAGGGGAGACUCGGCGAGUUGGAGCCAGACUCGCCGAGUAGGGUCGCAGAGUUGGUCGCGGGUUCGCGACUGGACUCGACGAGUCCAGGUAUGGACUCGGCNUUCAGGUGAACCCCUAGCCGUUUCGUAUGGGGUCGUAUAUAAGGGUGGUUAUGUCGUCAUUUCACGACUUUGGAUCGAUUGGGAAGAACCCUAGGCGACUGGAGCGGCUAGAGCAAGGAUUGAAGAUCAAUGGUGAUUUGAGGAAGUUAUUGUCCAAGAAGGAGAAGGUUUUGGCUAAUGGGACAGCAAGGGAAUCACGUUUUGAGGCUUGGGGACACUGAGGGUGCAUGAUUCAGGUAACCUUUCGGAUUAUUUUCUGUUAUGUGAAUGUGUGCAUGGAUUUAGGGUUUGUGAAACCCAUUUGGAGAUUAGAUGGAUUGUUGUGUUGUUAUCCAACGUUUAUAACCCUGUAUUAGUACCCCUUAGAGGUCCAGAAGGUCCUAUGUUUGUAUAUUCGGGAAAAUAUGUAUCUCAGGAAGCAGUUUGAUCGACUGCAUGGCGUGGACUCGCCGAGUCGGAUGAUCAGACUCGGCGAGUAGCUUGAAGAUUCACUGGGACUCGCCGAGUUGUUCUUCAGACUCGGCGAGUGGAGUCGGGGUGGCCCCGCGAUUCUUCCAGGAGUGACUCGUCGAGUCAAAGAGGAUACUCGACGAGUAGAAGGGGAAUCUUAGAGGAUUGAAGGACGACCAGACUCGCCGAGUCGCCAGGGAACUCGCCGAGUCCAGUCGAGCUGACAAUGGACUGUUGACCAGAGUUGACUGGUGUGAUUUCUUAGGGUCAGUUAACGUGGAAGAUAGAAGUAUUAAAAAGGGAUAUAUGAUGUUACAGGGAGCUUGUAGCUCGGAGGAUCAAGUGCAAGGGAUUUUAGGAGUUGCUAUCUUCCAGUGUCCGCGAGGUGAGUCUUCUCACUAUACUUCACCCGGAAGGGUUUGAUUGUGUGACCGGAAGGUCAAGUAUGUUAUGUGUUAUGUUUAUAUGCUAUAAAUGGAAAGUUAGCUGCUACGCGUGAUAUACAUGCUUAUAUAUGGGCCGGAAGGCAAGGUAUUAUGUGACAGAAAGGUCAGGUAUGAUAUAUGAUAUAUGUGCUUUAUGUGUUAGAGUAUUUGUAUUAUGUGUUAUAUAUGUGUAUGGGCCGGAAGGCAAUUAUCUUAUGGGCCGGAAGGCGAUAUAUAUUGUGGACCGAAAGGUCCGGGCCGGAAGGCAAUGUUAUGUGGACCGAAAGGUCCGGGCCGGAAGGCGUAUGUGCGUAAGGUAUAUUGGGGAACUCACUAAGCUUCGUGCUUACGUUGGUUAUGUUAUGUUGUUUCAGGUUCUUACAGUAACGCGGGAUGGCAACGGUUCGAUUGUACACACCAAGGAAAGAGUUGUAUUUUGGAGGAUCCUGGUUGUCUAUUUAAAUGGAAAUGGAACUAUGGUUGUAAUUCGAAUAUGAAUAAGAUUUUUAAACAAGUGUUUUAAUAUUAAAUUGAUUAUUUAAAUGAAAAUUUUGUUUUUGGAAAUCUUGGUGUUACAAUUCUACUAUUCGCGUCUCGAUCGUGAAACCAUACCUUUCCGAUAGGACUCUUGUAAGUCCACUCGUCGAGAUCCUCGCCUUCGUAUUAGAACCGUAGUGACCCUCGACCGAGAGGUCAAGCGGACGAAGCAACGCCAUCGCCAGUUAGUGAAGGUUCGUUGGAAUGCCAACCGAGAACCCGAUUUCACUUAGGUGCGCUAGAACCAAUCGAUUAGGAAGUUUCNCAUGACUCGAUCAUUCGUACCUACUUCCUUACCUAAAUUCUAAUUUCAGGACGAAAUUCCCUUCAACAGGGGGAUGAUGUGACAACUCGAAAUUUCGAUUCUGUACAAACCAUUUGUGGCCAAUAGAAGUAGAACAGUUUCAGUGAAAUUCCAGACUUCGGGUAUAAGUUUGGCAGUUUUUCAGGAUUUACACUUAAGGAAAUAUCAGGAGACUGGAUGCACUAGGGUUUUGUGCAACACAGCUAUUCCAAUACUCUAGGAUAGUAGAAUUCAUUCCGGGAAUAAAAAUAUUUUCUGCUAAAAAUCCUAGGACUAUAUAUAGAAAACUGAACCAUAUUGGUUCAUUUGUUACAUGUCCAUUUAGAGAAAAGUCAAAAUUCUCUCUCACGGAUCUUCGGGAUUUUAUCCGAAAUUGUGAGUACUUCGAUCUAGUUAUAUUAUAUAGCUUAGAUUGUGUUUAGAAACAUCAAAAUCGGACCAAAACCCCAAGAUUUGGGAGUUUACCGCCCAAGAACACUUGGGGAGUAAACUCCAUUUUAAGGGCCAAAAGUGUCCCAAUGACCCUCAAAGCCUUAGAACUCAAACUAGACCCUACCAUUGCAUGUUUAGGACACCAAAUUAAUUAGAAACAAUGGGUGAAAGUGAGUUCACGGCCAACGGAGUUCUUGAGCCGUGAACUCCAUGUUUAAGUGCCAAAAUGCCCUAAAUGCCUUCAUUUAACUAAGAGACUAGCAUAGCACAUUACCUUGAUGUGUCUAAGACCCAAAACAAUAAAAAUACCAACACCUAGGGGUGUUCACGGCCGCAAACACAUUAACAAAUGGUUCAUGGGCCGAAAACUCUAGUUAGGGUGUUUUGAUGCCACAAACACUUCCUAAGGCUUAGGCUUGAAUUUAGACAUGUACCCUAAAGUGUUUAUAGCCUAGAAAACAUAAGGAAUCACAAGUAUUAAGGAGUUUACGGCCAAGACAAGUUCUUGGGCCGUAAACCCAUAUAAAGGGGUCAAAUGACACCCUAACUCCUUCCUUAUGCCUAGAACCCAACAUAUAUCAUAACCUUGAAAUGUUAGGAACCUCAUAACAUCAAAUGGUACUCCUUACCAUGAGUUUACGGCCGUAAACUCAUGGGGGAGUGGUCCCAAGCCCGUGAACUCCUAAAUGGAGUUAAAAAGAGGCCCAAACACUUGUUCAAGACUAGAAGCUCUUCACCACUUAAGUUGUAUUAAAGUUAAGCUUCAUUUUGUGACCUAAGUGAGAGUUUACGGACAAGAGUUUACUCCCUUGGGCCGUAAACUCCAAAACAUAUGGUCAUUUGACCAUAAACUCCCAUUAGAGGCAUUGCACUCCAUUGUUGCAACCCAUUUGCCUCCUAGCACUUGACCAAAAGUGUUUUCCUCGCAUUAAAAUGCAUAUACUUGUAUAAUUAGUUUUUUAAUCACUAAUUAUUUAUAUACAUAUGUAUUCAUAUGUAAUUAGGAUCAUUGUGUGUAUCUAAAGUCUUCACUUGACACCAAGCACUUGUCCGAUCCUUCCUUACGAUAAAAGUCCGUUCAAUUCCGAUCACUUACUGCAUGUGAGUUCAUACCCCUUAAUUAAUGUUUUAAACUGCUUUUAAAUGUUUUAUGGGGGGGGGGAUACAAGUAGAAUUAUGCUAGUUAUUAUAUCAAUCACAUGUGAUUAAUAAGUAGAAUUAUGCUAGUUAUUAUAUCAAUCACAUGUGAUUAAUAUGCAGCAUUCAAAUGAUUUACUACACAUUAACCGUUUUACCAAACAGGUUCUUCAAAUGAUUUUCUUAAAUGUUUUAUAUGUUUAAAAAUCCUUAUUAAACUGUUCAUUACACACUGUAUGAUCCUUUUCAAACCAUUUUACUCCGAUCCGUUUUACUCCAAGCUAUUACCAAAUCGUUUUACUUCAAACUGUUUUCACUUCAAACUGUUUUAUCGAUUGACAUCAAGUCGAUCUUCUCUUAAGAUAAUAAUUAUGUUCAAAGGUUUUACAAAACUUAUUUAUGCUUUUAUAUUAUAAAUUGCAUGCCUCUAUAUGUAUAGUUAUAUAAGAAAUGUUUAAAAGACUUAGGAAGGCUAUCCACCCUAUUUCCUUUUCGCGCUUGAGAUGUGGUCUGGUGGGAUAUCGGGUACUCGUCCGAAGGUCGUUUAAAUAUUAGUUAUAUAACAUAUGUACAUAUAUAGUCAUAAAGGCCCUUCCAGUUCAUCCCAUGCCCUUGGGUAGCAAGGGUAUACAUCCAUGUCCAUACGUACCAGUUAGAUUACUAGUAAACUUCCAUAUGGGUAGUUUAGGAAGAUACUAGAGCUAUUACUAGAACGCGAUAUCAUACAAUGAGUCAGUUCAUUCAUGAGUCAACAUUUUCGAGAACAUUACAGUACAUUACUAUACUUGCUAGCACACGUAGAACAUUACAGUACACUACUAUACUAUUACAUGAUCACACUUACAUAAGUACAAUUACAUGAUCACACUUACAUGAGUACGCUUACAUAUACAUAGAACAGACAUCACUAGGUUCUAUAGCAUGGAACCAGUUCAGGAUCUAAAUAUACCGAUGAAUCACAACGCAAUUGUG